rnacentral:misc_RNA from 1 species
GAUGAAGAACGUAGCGAAAUGCGAUACGUAAUGUGAAUUGCAAAUUCAGUGAAUCAUCGAAUCUUUGAACGCACAUUGCACCUCUCGGUAUUCCGGGAGGUAUGCCUGUUCGAGCGUCAUUUGUACCCUCAAGCUCUGCUUGGUGUUGGGUGUUUGUUCCGCCUCUGUGUGUGAACUCGCCUCAAAACAAUUGGCAGCCGGCGUACUUGUUUCGGAGCGCAGCACAUUUUGCGAUCCGGAUCAACGUACAGCGGCAUCCAAGAAGCCUUAUUUAACGCUCUUGACCUCGGAUCAGGUAGGGAUACCCGCUGAACUUAAGCAUAUCAAUAAGCGGAGGA